CACGGGGGGAGCAAGCGUUGUUCGGAAUUACUGGGCGUAAAGGGCGUCUAGGCGGAUAGGUAAGUGGGAUGUGAAAUCCCUCGGCUCACCCGAGGACCUGCACCCAAACUGCCUGUCUUGAGUAUGGGAGAGGAUGAGGGAAUUCCUGGUGUAGCGGUGAAAUGCGCAGAUAUCAGGAAGAACACCCGUGGCGAAGGCGGCUCUCUGGUACGGAACUGACGCUGAGACGCGAAAGCGUGGGAGCGAACAGG
rnacentral:rRNA from 1 species